GGUUUUUCUGUUUUAUAAAUAUCUUUAAAAUACCCUCAGAACCCUCACAGCAUCCACACUAAGUUUCAUUUCUCUUCUUCUGGCUCCUACUCACAUCUUCAGUUCUCUUUUCUCAUUUUAAGAAGAAAAGGAUACGAUGACAAAUUGUCAUUAAAGAAAAACUCAGCGGUAGAAAAUUUCUUAAGGAAUUAUGCAUUCAUAUUUCUAAAGUUAAGCUGUCUUGAAGCUUGAAGGAUGGAAAUGCUACAUGGAAAGUUAGGAAGAACAGUCCUAUUGAUGGUAAGAACAAAACAAGACGCGAACUGUGGAACCUUGAUCUUACCUAAAGAAGAGACGCAUUUUUUCCACUAAAAUGAGAUGCCUUAGAUGUUCUCUCUCUUUUCUGGAACUGAAUACCAUUCUUUAAGGUAUUCAUGGGAAGACUGUUCCCUGGAUAUUUUCGACACUGACUGACCUGCUUAUGGUACUGCUAAUAGUGCCUUCUCUCUCCCAUGAUGGAACAAACUUACAGAGUUCUCUUGAGAAGAGAAUGUCAACUCUCUGAAGCACCAAGCUACAAGAUCGAGAAGAAUCUACUUUAGAGCUGGAGAAUGCAUAACAACUCGGGCGUCUACAGCCUCAUCAUAACUGUGUGCUUUUAGGAUGAGAAGGCAUAGAAUAGCACUUAAUCAUUUUCUUUAACGUCCUAUUGACUUUCAUUUGGGAAAAGAAAUGUGACGAAGAGUAUUUUCAUUUGUUUUGCUCAGUUUCGCUCUCUCUACAAAAGAUAGUACGAAACUGCCCAGGGUCUUCCCUUAUCCUUCUAAACGUAAUCUGACUCCGGAAAAAUGCAGGCGCUUCGUUCAUAGUACUUGACUGCCCCCUAUCGGACAUUGUGAUGUUUUUAUGCUUAUGUUAUGAAGCAAGCUUUAAAAACGUAAUUCGAGUUUUGACAAAAUAAAGUGAAGUGGAAAAUGCA